rnacentral:rRNA from 1 species
AAUGAACGCUGGCGGCGUGCUUAACACAUGCAAGUCGAACGGGAAAUAUUUCAUUGAGACUUCGGUGGAUUUGAUUUAUUUCUAGUGGCGGACGGGUGAGUAACGCGUGGGUAACCUGCCUUAUACAGGGGGAUAACAGUCAGAAAUGGCUGCUAAUACCGCAUAAGCGCACAGAGCUGCAUGGCUCAGUGUGAAAAACUCCGGUGGUAUAAGAUGGACCCGCGUUGGAUUAGCUAGUUGGGGGGGUAACGGCCCACCAAGGCGACGAUCCAUAGCCGGCCAGAGAGGGUGAACGGCCACAUUGGGACUGAGACACGGCCCAGACUCCUACGGGAGGCAGCAGUGGGGAAUAUUGCACAAUGGGGGAAACCCUGAUGCAGCGACGCCGCGUGAAGGAAGAAGUAUCUCGGUAUGUAAACUUCUAUCAGCAGGGAAGAUAGUGACGGUACCUGACUAAGAAGCCCCGGCUAACUACGUG